CUUGGCAACAGCUUUGGUGAAGAAAUAUUUCCUAAUAUCCAAUCCCAGCCUUCCCUGACACAACCUGAGGCCAUUUCAUCUUGUCACCUGGGAGAUGAGUGUCCCCCACCUGACUACAACCUCCUUUCAGGUAAGAGAAUGAAAAAUUUGCAGCAUGGGCUGACCUUCCUUCUGGACAUUCCAGAAGAUUGAGCUGAAGCUCCUCAAAGCCAGCUUUCAUCAACCUUAAGACAAACCUCCUAGAAACUUCUGGCAGAUGAUUUCUCUGAUGGCUGCUCCUUCCAAACUCAACCUUUGUGACAGGUGGAGAAGUAAGUCAAGAGAAUAGAAUGAGUGGAGCAUCAGUAAACCAGGUUCUGUUUCUGACAUGAGAUCCAGUCCCUGCUCAGAAGAACAGCCCUGUUGGUUUCAGCAGGCUACCUGUGAGAAACAAAGACCUGGUGCCACGUAGCUACACAUGUCACAGAGCUUUUGUAUUAUGCAGAAGGAAGCACAAGAGCCUUUGGAGGCAGGAAAGCAUCUGGAAGCCCCGAGCUUCUGCAGGAAUUGAUACUGCAGCAUUUUCAUUCACUAUGAAAUUCAGCUGCUUCUGAGUCCAUAACUUUUCACCUAAAGAGAUUAUUUAUUAUUAUGUUUUUUCCUGAAUUAUGCUGGAUCUGCUCCUGCCUUCUAGCCCUGCUAGUGCAUGUGAGGCCUCUGCAUCCUGCAACUCAUCAGCCUGGCUGGAACCACUAGGAACAGGGUGAAAAGUCUCCUUCCCAUCUCUCUUAGGAGCUCCAGGACUAUGUAGAAAUUCACAAGAAAACUGCCAGGGAAGCCAUGGACAUCUGCCUGGUCUCCUGCUGUGUUCAGGUCAGAGGGCCUGUGCCCUUGCUGGUAUGUGGCUUUCAGAGCCACACAGGGAAAGAUGUACAUGAUCCAUGAACGGUGCAGAUGUCCUGGAACUAGGGCCACCUGUGAGUGAGUACCCACAGAGAGAUUUAGUAUAAUUUAUAUGAUAAACAUUGACUGUACAUCUUCAUCUGAUUUAUCUCUCCUGCUCAGCAAUCAAAUCCUCCAAGUAAUCAAAUCCUACACUUGUUAUAAUCACAGCUUGCUUUAGAUGAACACAUUAUGCAUUUAUUUUCUCCCCAAACAGCCAACCCGCAGUGGGUUGCACAGGGCAAGCACUGCAAGGUUUUGCAAUCCGUCUCUCCCCCCUGAGAAGGGA